rnacentral:rRNA from 1 species
AUGUCGUCUGGCUACAGGUCGGGAGGGAGAGAGUUAAUUGCACGGAACUCGGGCCCACCAGUCAGGUGCCACCUUGACCAAUCGGCGUGUGUCUGCGCGGUGACUAGGACGAGCCGCUCUUCAACCCGGUCCGGUCGCACCGGUUCGUCCCCCACCGCACCAUUCCCCUCCCCUCCUCCUCCUCGACUCGUUCCCUCCGUCGCCGCCGCCGGCGUCCCGACUGCCGGCCGCCGCACCGCCUCGCCGACGCCAUGGUUUUGGAGGACGAAAGCAGCGACGACCAGUCUAGCCUCCCAUACAUGCAGUCUUCCUCCUCCACCGACGGGCUCAACCAGGUUUUGA